rnacentral:misc_RNA from 1 species
CGCGCUCUUUCACCAUACCAUAUCCCUUUAAUAGGUCCUUCUUGAUUUUCUAGAAAAUUCGCACGUUCUUGUUAAUUAAUCUCCAAUAUUAUUUGUAUAAAAAUUUACAAGACAAGUAUUUAAAAAUAAUCGAAUACAAAUACAGGUUAUAAUUUAUUGUUUAUUAUAACCUCUAAUUUUAUUGACUUUUCCAUAGAUUGAAAACGCUUAUUCGAUGAAAAUGACAUUUUUGUCCAUAUGUCAGUAUACUAUUUGCAACAAUUCAAUUUAAAUUGAGUGGUAAAAAUUAACAAUUAAGUAUUCAAUAUAGAAAUAAGUAAACAUUUGAACUGUCAACUGUUAAAAUGACUUCUUGCUCUUUAGAAAUUAUACUUGCUCCACAAUAGUGAAUAUUUAUUCAUUAGCAAUUAUAACAUUGAUUUAAAUUAGUGAUCAUUUUACAAUAGCAAAUGAGUGAAUAUUUUCAUUAUGUUGCUGUGACUUUCACUGAUUUAUUUUCAUAUGGAGCAGGUUAGAAAAGCGUUUAUUAAAUAUUUCACUAUUUAAGUCAGUGUGACCGUAAUGAAAAUGUAAAAUGAAUGAAUUUUAAUUAAUUACAAAAAUGAUCUCUAACAUGGUAGCAGCAUGUACAUGGUUGACGCAAUGAUCUCCCUCUUAAAAUCAUCUGUUCGUAAUCAAUAAUACAAGAUGAUUCCAUUUCUUCACGCAGUUGUCACAUGGUCUUAAAGGAUUGUAUAGAUUGAAGUACAAUAUAUGAAUAAGAAACCAAUAAAUAAAAUGUCACGCUGUAAUUACCUCAAAUUUUGUUCAUUUUUUAAUAAGCGAGUGCCUACAAAAAGUUCUUGUAUUCAUCUGAAUUAUCAUAAACACGCACAGCCACAUAAUACAGUUGUACAUCAUGAAACAGGUUAUUUUUUCGAGCGAGCAGCAAUCAGUAUUCGUUGUUUAUGCUCAAUGCACAAAGUUAUUGAAAGAAACGUUUUACAUUCAACAAUUGCUCCACUAUCUUAUUGGGAAAAGAAGUGGCGAAAUUAUAGAAAAAAUACCUCAGAGGCUAAUUAUAAGAAUUUGAGUUUUAUUUUAAGUGGAUUAGGAUUGAUUGUAGCUUAUUGUGAUGCUCCAAUAUCAUUAAAAGAGAAAAGGUUUUUUCGAGCCGCACAGUAUGGAAAUAUUCCAGAUUUAAAGAAGGCAAUAUUAGAAGGAGUUGAUGUAAACAUGAGACACAGUCUUGGAUGGACAGCAUUGCAUUCAGCAGCAAUAAAUGGUAAAGUUGAUGCUCUCAAAUUUUUAAUUAGUCAAGGAGCUGAUGUAAAUGCGGAAGAUGAAUUUAUAAAUGUUUAUAAAACUGGAAGAGAGAAAGGACUUCAUUCAUUAGAAGUUCUUAUGAUACGUGAAGAAGAAUUUUCUGAUAGAUUAAAUAGUCGAGCUACUUUUAAAGGUUUUACUCCAUUACAUUAUGCUGUUCUUGCCGAUUCUUACGAAUGUGUUAAAGCACUUUUAGAUGCAGGUGCUAAUCCUACGAUAGAUAAUGAAUCUGGUCAUAGGCCUGAAGAAUAUUCGAAAAAUGACAAAAUAAAGAAAUUACUUAUUCAGAAGGCUCAAAAAUAUGAUGAAUUACUUAAAGAAAAGGAAGCAGAAGAACGACGAAGAUUCCCAUUGGAGCAAAGAUUAAAGCAACAUAUUGUUGGUCAAGAAGGUCCUAUUUCUAUUGUAGCAUCUACUAUAAGAAGAAAAGAAAAUGGUUGGAUUGAUGAAGAACAUCCCUUAGUAUUUCUUUUCCUUGGUUCCUCUGGUAUUGGAAAAACAGAGUUAGCGAAACAACUUGCUGCUUAUAUUCAUAAAGAUAAAAAAGAUGGAUUUAUUAGAUUGGAUAUGUCUGAGUAUCAAGAAAAGCAUGAAGUUGCUAAAUUAAUUGGCGCUCCACCUGGAUAUGUAGGUCAUGAUGAUGGAGGACAGUUGACAAAACUUUUAAAAAAAUUCCCAAAUGCCGUGGUACUUUUCGAUGAAGUAGAUAAGGCACACCCUGAUGUACUAACCGUUCUUUUACAACUAUUUGAUGAGGGAAGACUAACAGAUGGAAAAGGUAAAACAAUUGAGUGUAAAGAUGCUGUAUUUAUAAUGACGUCAAAUCUUGCCAGUGAAGAAAUAGCUGAACAUGCUAUGCAAUUACGAGCUGAAGCAGAAAGUGUAUUACAACAACGACUUGACAAGAAUUCUAAUGAAGAUCAAGAACCAGAACGAAUCGUUAUAUCACGACAUUUUAAAGAUGAAGUGGUGCGGCCCAUAUUAAAGGCUCACUUUCGACGUGAUGAGUUUCUAGGUAGAAUAAACGAGAUCGUAUAUUUCCUACCAUUCUCACGUAGUGAAUUGAUAAAGCUUGUAGCUCGUGAACUCGAAGCCUGGGCUACAAGAGCAAAAGAGAGACAUAUGAUAGAACUGAAAUGGGAUCGUGAGGUUCUUUCAGUUCUUGCUGAUGGUUAUGAUGCUCAUUAUGGUGCUCGGUCUAUAAAAUAUGAAGUAGAAAGACGAGUAGUUAACCAGUUGGCUGCUGCUCAUGAACGUGGACAACUCGGUAAAAAAUGCUGCGUCAAACUAAAAACUAAAUGGCAUGAAAACGGAGCCAGUAUUAUGCUUUCAGUUCGACCUCCUGGAGUUAAGGAUUUUGUUGACAUUGCAGAGACAGAUAAUGUUAUAAAAAAUGUUCAUGCCCAGUUUUAGUGAAUAGUAACUAUUUUUCUAUGCUAAAAGUGUUCAACCAAAUAUAAACUCAGGAUUUUUGAUUAUAAAUAUUUAUUUAAUAUUUUCAUAGAGUGAAAUUGAUAGCCUUUUAUUAUAUGAACUAAACUGCACUUUUGUAGGACUGAAAUAUUCACCAAUGAAAAACUUGUAACAUAAUUUGUUGGAAAAAAGAUUCAUUUGUUAUCAAACAAUACAAUUCGCUGUAAAUAAAUUCAUCUUUAAUGUAAACUGAUAAUUAAAGUUACAUAACAAGACAUUUUGGUUGAACAUCACACUUAAAGUACAGUAUACAUUUUUUAUAUUAUAUACCAAGAUAAAAGAUUGUGUCGAAUUGGAGUUAUUGAGAAAAUAAAAACUUUC